rnacentral:lncRNA from 1 species
AAAGCCUCUAGUAGGCCAAAAAUCAAAAAAUUACAAAGAAUAUGCAUUGAUUGAUUUUUUUAACCCGUUAAUCCAAGAGAACAUCUUUUCCGAUUUCUAUAAACAAUCCAAUUAAACGAGUAAUCUCUAAUAAAAUAAAAAAUCAUCAUUUUUUAUAGUUCUUUCCACCGAACACCACAUCAUGAUGAAAGCAACAAAGCACCCACCAUGUAGUAGAAUCUGCUAUCACCAAGAUCAUCAUUUUUUUUCCUGUAUAAUGCUGAUGCAUCCAUCAAAGCUAUGAGAUCUAAAAUUCACCCUUGAAUUUUAAUAGAAACAUCAACCAAUCUUACAAAUUUCAUGUUCUAGCCGUCACUUCACAUUUUAAGAAAAGACGAUUCAAGUCUUUGGUAUCCUUCGAAUAAAUCAGACACAACACUACUGAAUUCACAUCAAUACCUUUAUGAUGACAGUCUUAUCUGCGUUGAAGCCUAUCAAGCAAAAGAUGCCAAAAAGAGUAUAUUAUAAUUUCUAAGCAUAAAAGGAUUCCAUCUAGUAUUAGGCUAUUAGCCGAACUAGGGAUGAGCAUCGGAACUGGCCCGGGAACCGAACUUGAUAGAAAAUAGAAACCGAACCGGACCGCCGGUUCUACCGGUUCUUGUCAGGUCUUCAACGUUGGAACCGGUCCUCGAGAAAUAGCAACGUAUUUUGAGAAAUAUUUUGGUUACGAUUUCGGUUUUUGCCAGUUCUUGCCAGAUCUAUAAAAAAAAACAAAGAAAAUACAAUCAAACUUUCACGUAUGUUGUUGGAAAAAAAAUAUUUGGUAUGCUAUAUUCCAAGAGAUGUAACUCCUUUAGUUUUUAACAAAAUUAAGAGUUUUUAUAGUGUAAAAUUAAUUACAAAACCUAAAUAACAUGUAGGAAAAAAAAUCAGGUCAAUACAACUUAAAAUGAGUGAGAUAUGCACAUUUUAACAAAAAAAGUCAGAUUACGUUUAAGUGCUGAAACAGGAAAAAAGUCUGAUUUGAUAUGCUUCCUUGCGGCUCUUGUAACUCAUUCAAUUUUUAACCAAAUCAAGAGUUUUUAUAGUCUAAAAUUAGCUACAAAACCCAAACAACAUGUAGGAAAAAGAAUCAAAUCAAUACAACUUAAAAUGGGCGAGAUAUGCACAUUUUAACAAAAAAGUCGGAUUACAUUUUAGUGCUGAAAAAAAAAAAAAAAAAGUCUGAUUUGAUACGCUACCUUACGGGGCUUGUAACUCAUUCAGUUUGUAAUCGAAUAAAGCGUUUUUAUAGUCUAAAAUUAUCUACAAAAACUAAAUAACAUUAGAAAAAGAAUCAUCUCAAUCCAAGUUCAAAUGAAUGAGAUAUGAACAUUUUAAGAAAAAGUCAGAUUACAUUUUAGUGCUGAAGAAAAAAAAAUCUGAUUUCCUAUGCUUCCUUACAGGGCUUGUAACUCAUUCAAUUUUUAACCAAAUCAAGAGUUUUUAUAGUCUAAAAUUAUCUACAAAACCUAAAUAAAAUGAAGGAAAAAUAAUAAUAUCAAUGUCACUUCAAAUUCGUGAGAUAUAAACAUUUAAAAAAAAGUUAGAUUGCGAUUUAUUACUCAAACAGAAAAAAAAGCCGGUCCGGUUCGGUUCCUGGUUUUGGGCCGGGUCCAAUGACCGGUUCCUACCGGUUCUCGGUUCCAAAAAUCCAUAAGAAUAUCGUCCUGGUCCCAGCCCGAUCGGUUCUAUCCGGUUUCGGUCGGUUCCCCAAUCCAAAUGCUCUUCCCUAAGCCGAACCACCAUCUGCUAAUAAGAAAUCAUCAACCCAUUUAUGAACCGUUACCUUGAACCUGAUUUCUCAAAACCAAAAUUGACUAUUUACGAACCGUAUUUACCGAGAUCAAUUUCUUAUGGCGAUGGCUAGGUUGGAUGUUGCGAAGUUUAAAAGGUAUGUGGAGAGAGCAAGAAUGGAUGAUGAGAGGAAGAAGCUAUUGGCGGGCUUUCAUGAUAUAAGCUCAAGUCAAGCUCUGACUAGAAAAAAGAUUCAACAGCUUUAAAGUCUCAAAAGUAGUAUUAAUUGUAAACAAUGAUAAGUAAAGAAAAAAUUUAUAAAACUUGACUAGAACACAUUCUAGUCAUGUUUAAGUUUGAAUAACAAAAUGAAAAACCACUUCAAUUACAUCAGAUGAAAAUUCAAAUCGACGUUUUUUAGGCUUAAAGUUUCUUUUUAAUAUUAGAACUUGAUAAAAUUUGAAACAAAAGAACGAAUAACUGGACUUAAAUACGUAUUAUAUAUACAAUUAAAUCACAUAACCCUAAAUAGUAUAGUUUCUAUUCUUCAAAGUUUUGUAUAGAAUUAACACUUUGUCAUUUUUGGUCAUUUCCCAAAAUUUUCAAAGUUUUGCCACAAAAGCUUAGGGUGCGUUUGGUUGUGAAAAACUGUUUUCAUUUUCUAAGAAAAUGUUUUUAGAAAAUAGAGUUGAGUUUUCGUUUUCAAAUUUCAAUGAAAAUUUUAGAAAACGCGUUUGGUUGAAACCGGGGGAGUUUUCAUUUUCCAUCUUAAAAAUUUGGAAAACUUUGGAAAACUGUAAAAAUCACUUUUCUAAUUUACAUACAAUUUGGAAAACUGAAAAUUUUCAUUUUUUUGGAAAAUUUUGGAAAAAUGAAUGAACCAAACACGUUUUCAAAAUUUCCGUUUUUCUUGAAAAAUUUUCCUAGAAAACUGGAAAAUUUUCCACAACCAAACGCACCUUUAGGGUGCUUGUAGAAUUUCUUUUAGUUUUCUAGGAAAAUUUUCCAAGAAAAACGGAAAUUUUGAAAACGCGUUUGGUUCGUUCAGUUUUCCAAAAUUUUCCAAGAAAAUGAAAAUUUCCAGUUUUCUAAGUUUUAUGUAAAUUGGAAAAAUGAUUUUUACAGUUUUCCAAAAUUCUAAAAUGAAAAAUAAAAACUCUCCCGGUUUCAACCAAACGCGUUUUCUAAAAUUUUCACUGAAAAUUGAAAAUGAAAACUCAACUCUAUUUUCUGAAAACAUUUUCUUAGAAAAUGAAGUGCAUUUUGUUGUGGAAAAUUUUCCAGUUUUCUAGGAAAAAUUUCCAAGAAAAACGAAAAUUUUGAAAAAACGUUUGGUUUGUUCAGUAUUCCAAAGUUUUCUAAGAAAAUGAAAAUUUUCAGUUUUCCAAAUUGUAUGUAAAUUAGAAAAGUGAUUUUUACAGUUUUUCAAAUUUCUAAGAUGGAAAAUGAAAACUCUACCCAUUCCAACCAAACGUUUUUUCAUUGAAAAUUGAAAAUGAAAACUCAACUCUAUUUUCUGAAAAUAUUUUCAUAGAAAAUAAAAACAGUUUUCCAUAACCAAACGAAGCUUAACACUUUAUCAUUUUUGAUUCAUCCUUAAUUUUUUUACCACAUUAGUUCGUGGAGUUCACACUUUUAGUCCCCUAGCUUCGAUAUUCUUUAUUGCUAUCUACAAAAGUUUCAAGAGUCUACUACUUUUCGUCCCUAAGAUUUACUAAAUGUAACACCUUAAGUUUUGCCACUAGCUUCGAUAUUCUCUAUUGCUAGCUACAAAUGUUUCAAGAGUUUGCCACUUUUCGUUCCUAAGAUUUACUAAGACUGAAAGGAGUGGGAGUCGUUACCCCACUCGCUAAGCACGCUAGGAAGACUUGAGCACCGCCCCCUAGCGCUCGCUAGGGGGUCGCUAACAUUCGCUCGCUGCAUCUUUGACGAGAAGAGAGAGAAUUGGACGCACGAAUCUGAUUGGUUGAAGGGGUUGGACCAGAUUGCUUAAAGCCUUUACCAAAUUCAAUUUAACUCAUAAAUUUAAGGCUAUAAAAAUCAGAAGGAAAACUUACAGCCGAGCUUCUGUGAGGCAUGGUGAGAAUUCUAGAGAGAGAGAGAGGGGGGGAGAGGCGGUGGGAGGUAGAGAGAAAAUAUAUAGAUGAAAAUGCUAUUACGUCAAAA